rnacentral:rRNA from 1 species
UUACACAUGCAAGACUCCACACACCAGUGCGCACAACCACACUCUACCACAUAGAAAAAGAACCGGUAUCAGGCCCGCACACCAGCCCACAACACCGAGCAUCGCCACACCUCCACAGGACACAGCAGUGAUUAACAUUAAACCAUGGUAACGCCCCGAUUUAGUCUAUGGCCAACCACCCUCGGUAAAUUUCGUGCCAGCCACCGCGGUUACACGAAAGAUCUAAAAUAAUUAACCCCGGCGUAAAGCGUGACCAAAACACAGCCCACACCACCGAAGCAUGAGGCACAACAAGUGUCGUAAAACCCAGAUGCCAAUACAAACCACACCCGCUUCAUCCAAGGGGCUAUCUCCACUCACGAAAGCUAGGACACAAACUAGGAUUAGAUACCCUACUAUGCCUAACAAUAAACUGAUUGUCACACACAAACAAUCCGCCAGAGAACUACAGGCAAAAGCCAGAAACUCCAAGGACUUGACGGUGUCUCACACACCCUAGAGGAGCCUGUCCUAUAAUCGAUACCCCACGCUUUACCUCACCUACACUUGCACCACAACCUAUAUACCGCCGUCGUCAGUCCACCCCGUGAGGGCAGUGAACAAAAUACUCCAACCACUAACACGUCAGGUCAAGGUGUAGUAUAUGAGUAGGCAGAGAUGGGCUACACUCUCAACACGAGCAUACCACCAGCAACAUGAAACACAGCCCAAAGAUGGAUUUAGCAGUAAGGAGCGCAAGAGUGCCCCCCUGAAGGCAGUCCUGAGACACGCACACACCGCCCGUCACCCUCAUC